CCCUCCCCCCCCCGCAGACUCCACACCAUUCGCCUACUUCCCAUUCAUACCUAAAUGAUAGCUUUGCCACAAAUAAGCCAGUCUCCUUUAAGAGCAGAAGAAUUGGCUUUUCUAGGUGGGGCUAAUCAGGGAGGCUGCCUGGAUGUAGAAGACAGCAGCCAAGGCCCCUGGCACCAGAUACAACAGCUGUUCAGCUCACACUGACCUUUCUUUGGGCCUGUGGGUGUUAUGAGCCCUUCAGCUUUUAAGUUUUCUGAUAGUGUCUCUAUCAGGUUUCUACCUGUCAGAUUCUCUGGCCACUUUCCUGUUGUGCAUGGACUUUGGGCUGUAAGCCUCUGCCACCUUUUAGAUUCCUAGUGGGUGGUGAAUCUGAUUGGCUUGGGUUGCCUGGCCUUUGAGUUCUCAGUUCCCUGCCUUGGCCUGAAACCCUCUUGCUUUCGUCCACUGUGCCCUCUGCCCUGACCCACAGACUCAAGGGCCAGACUCACCCUGUAUGCUUGCACUUGGUGAGGGGUGAGGAUGAGGGUGAGGGGAGGAAGAACAUCUGUAUGCGAAACACAGUCCCCUCCAUGAGGAUCCAGGCCUCUUGGAUUAGGCUGUGCUCCAAAUACCCAUUGCACGAAUUGCAUCACACAAAUGAGCCCCCUUUUCCAUACUCUAGGGUCUCUAUUAGCUUAGCCACUUUAGAAAACUAUAGGUGGUUUACAAAAUUCAUUUUGCAUACAUAUAUUCAUGUGGGUGUGUAAAGACAGUAUUUUUCUGGACCAAAUUGAUAGACAUGGUAUGCACUAGACAGAAGCUUUGAAUAAAAAUAGCUAAUGUUUGUUGAACACUUAGUGUUCCAGACUAGCACUUUCCAUACAUUAUCAUAGUUAUUCCUCCCCAAAAGUGUAUAAUGUAGGUAUUAUUAUUCUCCCUACGUUACCAAUGAAAUGGAAGCUUAGGUUAAUUAACAUUCUCAAAAUUACCCAAUUAGUAAAUGCAGGAGCCAAAAUUUGAGUCCUGGAAGUUUAAUUCCAGAGCCUGCAAGCAAUGCUGAAACUAGAAUUACGCUGAAAAAUCUUGAAUGUAGGUAUAUAUAUAUAUAUAUGUGUGUGUGUGUGUGUGUGUGUGUGUGUGUGUGUGUUCCUGCGCACGCGCCCUAUAUCACAUUGAGGAAAGUUGCCAACUUCCCCAAGAUUCUAAGUUUUUGCCUUGCCAAGAGAGAAUGAUGGCUCCAAGUUCCAACCACCAUGGGCGAAGGAGAUCCUUAGGGAGUAGGAGACUCAUCAGGUAACGUAUCUAAGUUCUGUCAAAGGCCUUAAGAAAAGGAAGCUGAGAACCAAGACGUUUUCUAAGAAGUUCGCUACCGGGUGUCACACAGGCUGGCUUCCCAAGUGCAACUUCUGAGUUUUUAAUGGGUUCCAUAAAAGAGCCAGGUCACCCCAGCAACCACUAGAGGGCUCAGGAAGCUGCAGCCUCGGGCUGCCCUCUAGCGGCGGUGCUGACCGGAGUGUGGUGGUAAGCCUUUUCGGGUCUUCGAGGAUCCUCAGGGAGUAGAAGGAGACCAGCAAUGGGAGGCUUGGCAGAUAGUAUCAGACUGAAGAGUCCUUAUUGCCAGAAUGAGAUAUCCUUUCAGGGAGGAAAGGGUCAGCCCUCACUGCUCACUUAACAUCUGGAAGUUUUGUUCCAGUCUUCAGAGAAGACUGUGAAUAAAAUUAUGACACUAAGAAGUCUGAUGAAGUUAACCAAAAUUUUGGAUGUGGACUCAAGCCAAACCCAGGGACCCUGGAUAGAGAGGCAGGAGUGUAGCAUAUGCUUCUCACAUUAUGUGGACUACUCUGAUUGUGAAACCCUGUACUGAGGACCCUCAUGGACCCAGAAUCAAUGUGGCUCAUUUUCUCAGAGCGUCAUUUUGACUGUCUGGUAAAUAAGGUAAGAGAUUGUAGUAAGCAUUACUUUUUAAGAUAACAUAUAAGUAUUUCCUAACCCUGAGGAGCCUAAGGUUAUUCUCUACUGGGAAAGUGUACACUAGAGGAAAAUUUGGAGGAACACUGAUGUAGUGGGGAAGAAAAAUCUGGCCUUGGAGUCAGAAGACCUGGGAAUUCAAACCCUCUGUUUCCGUCUCUAUGAAAAUGAAAAUAAUGACGUACAUCACAGGGUUCCUAUAAGGAACAACAUGUAAAGUGAUAGGUAAACCAGGGAAGUGUCUACUUUUAAAGAGUAUCUACAAGGUGGAUUGUGAGCACCUUAACGGAAAUGACUGUUUUAUUUAUCCUAGUAGUCCCAGGACAUAAUUCCUGUCUCCUAGCUACUUAAUAAAUAUUGUUGAAUUUAGUACUUACCUAACCCUCAUUGUCCUAGUCCAAUCCAUUAUACCAUCUUGCUCUCCUAUGUCUGUAAACCUUGUCUCCCUUAGGAAACUGUAAAUAUUUUACACUGUUCAGACUGUAGUAUAUAUAUUUAUCAUGCCUGAUAUAUAGUAGUAUUAGGCACAUAAAAUAUGAAUAAAUAAGACCUGGCCCCACCUUAAAGUAGUUUACAUAUUGUGGAGUAGAGCAACAUAUUAACAUAUAUUAAUUAUAUAAGAUGAGUUAUAAAAUAUAAACAUGUUCAAUAGUGCUGUGGAGUUAUAAUAGAGGGAGGGAUUAGUCUUGCUCAGGGUAGAACUGGAGAAUGCAUCAUGGCUGGCAUUUUAAUUGGGUCUUGCUAGAUGAAUAGGAGUUGAAUAGGCAGAGCAACAGCGGGAAGAUGAUUUCAGGUAAAGGGAAUAACAUGAGCACUGGUGUGAAGCCAUGAAAGGGCACUGGUUGAUGAGGCAUAAUGCAUAGCCCAGUGCUGACUCUGUGAUCAGAUCCUAAAUAAGUAUAGGGGAGGGAAAAGAAGGAGAGGGAGACAAAAACACAUUUUACAAAAUGUCAGUCUGCAUUGUUAGUUAGGAUUGUUCUGUCAAAAGAAGGCCUGGAAAAUGGUUUCCUUGUUGGUGCAUAUUGGUUAAGUACUGAAAGUAUACGGUUCCUUUCCACAAGUAUGGUGGUUUACCAGAUAUGGAAAAGGUAAAGUUCUACCCUGUUCUCCUUCUUUCCCCACUUAAAUAUUAAAAUGAAAUACUCCCCUCAUCCUCUUUCCCCCUAUCAUUACUUCCUCUGUCUUUUUCCAUGGCAAACUUUCUCCUCUAGAAGCUGAAAGUAGAAUGUGUAAUCACCUGCAUGUUAUUUAAGAGAACAUGGAAAGAAGGCUUUUUACUUCCCCAAGAUCUUCCUUGAUAGCAGAAAGUGAUAGAUAAUUUCUUUCAGCUAAGUUGCCUUUCGAAGUGCAAGUAGUCCUAGGAGGGCUGAUAUAUUAAGUUUCAAUGCUAUAAUGUGGUUGAGCUUUCUUUCAGUCUUACUUUUAAUAUCAUUAGAGAGAAGGGAAUGUGGGAAGGAGUGGAGAGGAGAAAAAUAAAAGCAGCAGCAAGAUUACAGAAAAGGGAAAUUAUAGGGUUCAAAACUAAGUGAAUAUUGGCAAAUUUGGAUACAUCUUCUCAAUACCAGGAGUGCUAAUGUAAAUAUGCUGUGAAAAUGUGAAUUCUUCUGUUAGAGCACAAAUAUGUCAUUAUGUCAUUAAAACAAUGUAUAACCCAGUGUUAAGGCUAAGUAGCCUAACUAUUCGAGUAUUGGCAAGGCAGCAGGCUGUUAACAGCACUGUCACUACCUGACUAUAUGACCCUAUCUAUACAAGCCAUUCUUUCAAGUUCUUUUGCUUAUCUCUGAGGAUUAGUGGGAUAAAGUUCAUAUAAUGUACUCCGCUCUUCAAUUGAGUAGUAUAUUGAAACGAAUGCCAGGUCGCUUUGAUUUCACUUGGACAUUUUCCACUGUUGGUACCAUAUACAUGUUUAUGUUGUAACCUUCCAUUCAUUUACAUUAAAGAAAGUUCAUGCUAAUAUCAUCUACCUAAAUUUUAAAGGAAGUGUUUACUUCUACUAGGGCCAAAAAUGUCCCUAGGAGAAAUUUGAUGUCUCAGAAAUUCAGGAAAGGAGUGGCUGUGAACAGAAGCUGGUAAAGGAAAACAUGAAGUUGUGACACUAAAAAUGGUUUAGUUAUUUACCUAACACUAAAAGUGACAAUAAAAAGACACCAGAGUCAAUCCUGCAGUGAGGAAGUUGGCGCCAGUGCAGUCUGAACAGGUCAGGGCCUAACCAAUAAUUCACAAACUCAGUCAUUCUUCCAUUCCUUUCAAGGCACGUUUGAGAUCCUGCUAUGUACAAGUUAUUAAUGUUGCAACCUUAGAAAGGUUAAAAAUAAGUAGUAAAUAAAAUAUUGUUCUCAUUUUCAAAAAGCUCAUAAUCUAAUUGGAACACUACUCAUGUCGGCCCAUACAUAUUUUUUAAAGUGAAAUAAAAACACAAGAAAAAAAGGUGUGUGAUAGGAUAAUUUAUUGAGCUAUUUAUUUGGGUUUUGUUCUCCUUAUAUUUUCCCUCCCUUCCAUUCCAGCCAGCCUUCAAGGGAAUUUUUUGUUACUAGGCAGAACAUUGUCUUACAAGAGCUCUCUCUUAGGCAACUCCAGGGCGCAUUAUUCACAUUGUAAAUGAAGCCUCCUGGAACAGGACUCCUUAGAAUGCUGUGUCAAUGUUAUUUCUGGUGUUGUACCCAGCAAUCUACCUUCCACGUCUGUUGCUCCUUGAGGAGAUAUUGCUAGGGGAUUAAAAAGCAACAUCCAGCUUAGAGUGUGAAUGAAGAACUGGGUAUGUGUCAACUUGGCUAGGCCGAGGAACCAUGACACCACACUCUGUAAGUCACUCAUAUAUUUGAGAAGAUGAAGAUGUCUUUGGACUUCCUUUAUGUGGAUCUCAGGAAAGUAAUCUUGGGAAGUUGAUUCCAUUAUCAUCUCAUUUCACAGAUGAGGAACUGAAACCACAAAGCUCUACUAACUAACCUGGCCAAGAGCACACAAUUCAUCAACGACAGAGUUGGGAUUUGAACCUAGAUAGCAUGAUCCAGAGCUAGUGUAAUUUACUGCAACAACAAGAAUGACAAUGAAAACAAUACAAAUCGAAAUCUACGUAUACUCAGAGAAAAUGCAGCCAGGAAUGCAUAUUUUAAAAAUAAGAAAAGAUUGCCUAGAAAUAAAUCAUGUUUAAAGCUUAAAAAGCUAGUGGAAAAAAAUACAUAAAGUGGAAGCAAGGAUAUUACUA